rnacentral:rRNA from 1 species
GACAGAGGGUGCAAACGUUGUUCGGAAUUACUGGGCGUAAAGCGUGUGUAGGCGGUCCUCUAAGUCGGAUGUGAAAUCCCUGGGCUCAACCCAGGAAGUGCACUCGAAACUGGAGGGCUAGAGUAUCGGAGAGGUUGGUGGAAUUCUCGGUGUAGAGGUGAAAUUCGUAGAUAUCGAGAGGAACACCGGUGGCGAAGGCGGCUAACUGGACGAAUACUGACGCUGAGACACGAAAGCGUGGGGAGCAAACAGG